rnacentral:rRNA from 1 species
AUUGAACGCUGGCGGCAGGCCUAACACAUGCAAGUCGAGCGGAUGAAGGGAGCUUGCUCCUUGAUUCAGCUGCGGACGGGUGAGUAAUGCCUAGUAAUCUGCCUGUUAGUGGGGGAUAACGUCCGGAAACGGGCGCUAAUACCGCAUACGUUCUUAGGGAGAAAGUGUGGGAUCUUCGUACCUCACGCUAUAAGAUGAGCCUAGGUCGGAUUAGCUAGUUGGUGGGGUAAAGGCCUACCAAGGCGACGAUCCGUAACUGGUCUGAGAGGAUGAUCAGUCACACUGGAACUGAGACACGGUCCAGACUCCUACGGGAGGCAGCAGUGGGGAAUAUUGGACAAUGGGCGAAAGCCUGAUCCAGCCAUGCCGCGUGUGUGAAGAAGGUCUUCGGAUUGUAAAGCACUUUAAGUUGGGAGGAAGGGCAGUAAGUUAAUACCUUGCUGUUUUGACGUUACCAAAAGAAUAAGCACCGGCUAACUUCGUG